rnacentral:rRNA from 1 species
GAUGAACGCUAGCUACAGGCUUAACACAUGCAAGUCGCGGGGCAGCAUGGGGGUUGCUUGCAACCCCUGAUGGCGACCGGCGCACGGGUGAGUAACGCGUAUCCAACCUGCCCUUCACCACGGGAUAACCCGGCGAAAGUCGGACUAAUACCGUAUGUUGUCCAUUGACGGCAUCCGAUUUGGACGAAAGGCUUGGCGGUGGAAGGACGGGGAUGCGUCCGAUUAGCUUGACGGCGGGGUAACGGCCCACCGUGGCCACGAUCGGUAGGGGUUCGGAGAGGAAGGGCCCCCACACUGGGACUGGGACACGGGGCAGACACCUACGGGAGGGAGCAGUGAGGGAUAUUGGGCAAGGGGCGUAAGCCUGAACCAGGCAAGUAGCGUGCAGGAAGGCGGCCCUAUGGGUUGUAAACUGCUUUUAUGCGGGGAUAAAGGGGCCCGCGGGUGGGCUUUUGCAGGUACCGCAUGAAUAAGGACCGGCUAAUUCCGUG